AAAUGAAAAAAAUCACUAAAAAUGAACGAAAAGUUAAGGCUAUAUAGCCUUACUUUUUUGCUGUUUUUCGACCACUUGUGAAAAAUGGAAAUAUAGCCUUACUUUUUUGCCGUUUUCACUUAUGAAAAAUGAAAAAAGUCGCUAAAAAUGGACGAAGGCUAUAGCCUUACUUUUUUGCUGUUUUUCGACCACUUGUGAAAAAUGGAAAUAUAGCCUUACUUUUUUGCCGUUUUUCACGUUUGAAAUGUUUUUCAGGUCCAUGUUUUUCAAAAUGGAAAUAUAGCCUUACUUUUUUGCCGUUUUUCAUGUUUCUUACUUUUUUGCUGUUUUUUGCUGUUUUUUUGGCCACUUAUGAAAAAUGGAAAUAUAGCCUUGCUUUUUUGCUGUUUUUUGCCCACUUAUGAAAAAUGAAAAAAGUCGCCAAAAAUGGACGAAAAGUUAAGGGUAUAGCCUUACCU
rnacentral:lncRNA from 1 species